rnacentral:ncRNA from 2 species
UAUAUUAUUUUGGGGUACCUUUAGUGGUUGAGAAUAUACCCAUUGAACCUGAUCUAACUAAUAUUAGCGAAGGGAAAAUGAUUUAUUUUUGG